GAUCCUGGCUUAGGAUGAACGCUAGCUACAGGCUUAACACAUGCAAGUCGCGGGGCAGCAUGGUCUUAGCUUGCUAAGACUGAUGGCGACCGGCGCACGGGUGAGUAACGCGUAUCCAACCUUCCCCUUAGUAGGGCAUAGCCCGGCGAAAGUCGGAUUAAUACCCAAUGUUCUUCGUAGAUGGCAUCUGAGACGAAGCAAAGGUUAGCGCUAAGGGAUGGGGAUGCGUCUGAUUAGGCAGUCGGCGGGGUAACGGCCCACCGAGCCAUCGAUCAGUAGGGGUUCUGAGAGGAAGGUCCCCCACAUUGGAACUGAGACACGGUCCAAACUCCUACGGGAGGCAGCAGUGAGGAAUAUUGGUCAAUGGGCGAGAGCCUGAACCAGCCAAGUAAGCGUGCAGGACGACGGCCCUACGGGUUGUAAACUGCUUUUAUGCGGGGAUAAAGUGCCCUACGUGUAGGGUAUUGCAGGUACCGCAUGAAUAAGGACCGGCUAAUUCCGUGCCAGCCGCGGC
rnacentral:rRNA from 1 species